rnacentral:rRNA from 1 species
GGAAUAUUGGACAAUGGGCGCAAGCCUGAUCCAGCCAUGCCGCGUGCAGGAUGACGGUCCUAUGGAUUGUAAACUGCUUUUAUACGAGAAGAAACACUGGUUCGUGAACCAGCUUGACGGUAUCGUAAGAAUAAGGAUCGGCUAACUCCGUGCCAGCAGCCGCGGUAAUACGGAGGAUCCAAGCGUUAUCCGGAAUCAUUGGGUUUAAAGGGUCCGUAGGCGGUCAGAUAAGUCAGUGGUGAAAGCCCAUCGCUCAACGGUGGAACGGCCAUUGAUACUGUCUGACUUGAAUUAUUAGGAAGUAACUAGAAUAUGUAGUGUAGCGGUGAAAUGCUUAGAGAUUACAUGGAAUACCAAUUGCGAAGGCAGGUUACUACUAAUAUAUUGACGCUGAUGGACGAAAGCUAGGGGAGCGAAUGGGAUUAGAUACCCUGG